rnacentral:misc_RNA from 1 species
AAGUCGUAACAAGGUUUCCGUAGGUGAACCUGCGGAAGGAUCAUUAAUACGCUUUUGUUUGUAACAAAACAAAACGUUUUAAACUCCAAAAGAAAUAGUGGAAACUUAACUUCCGGUUGCGAAUGUUGGGGAACUGAGUAAAAUUGGUUCUUUGAAAAAGGGACUUCAAGUAAAAUUGACACUUCAGAGUAGAGCAGUGAGGUGAAAUUCUCUUUAUUGAGAGAGUUUGGUUCUGAAAAACAUUUGUAUCCGGUUAUCAUAAUCUGUUCUACAAACUCCAAAAUAUCAAACAAUAAACCCCAUGUACAACAACUUGAACUAAACAUUUUUUUGUUAUCCUUCUUGCACUUGUGUGAGAAGAUACUACGAAGAAAAAACCUGAACUUAAGAACAACUCUUAACAACGGAUAUCUUGGUUCUC